GCCAAAAAUCUAGCUCUAAUCUAUCAAAUGAACUAAUCACCCUAAAUUCUCUAAUUAAAACAUUUUAUCAACUUAGUAAAGGCGAUUAAAAAAUUAAUUAAAGCUAUAUUAUAAGUACCGCAAGGGAAAGAUGAAAUAAAAAUGAAAUAAAUCUUAAGCACAGAAUAGCAAAGAUUAAUUCUUGUACCUUUUGCAUCAUGGUUUAACUAGUUUAAUCAAGCAGAAAGACUUAAAGUUUGACUCCCCGAAACUAAGCGAGCUACUUCAGGGCAGCUUAAUGAGCCAACCCAUCUCUGUUGCAAAAGAGUGGGAAGACCCUCAAGUAGAAGUGACAGACCUAUCGAGCUUAGUGAUAGCUGGUUACUCAAAAAAAGAAUUUAAGUUCAACCUAAAAUUUAAAUUAAUACUAACAAAAUAUGAUAUUUGUUUUAGAGUAAUUCAAAUAAGGUACAGCCUAUUUGAAACAGGACACAACCUAUAUCAGCGGGUAACAUUAUAUCAUGUAAUAGUAAAGUAGGCCUAAAAGCAGCCACCUUUAAAAUAGCGUCAUAGCUUUAUUAUAUAAAAAACUAAAUUCCUACACACUUACGUAACCCCUCUCCAACAUUGAGUAAUUCUAUGAAUACAUAGAAAUUUUUAUGUUAAAACUAGUAACAAGAAGACGAACUUCUCCUUAAUAUAAGCAUAAGUCAGCUGGACCCCCCACUGAUAAUUAACCCCCCCCCCCAGUAGCACCAAAACAAGAAAACCCUACUAUAUUACAUGUUAAUCUAACACAAGCAUAUUACAAGAAAGAUUUAAAGAAAAAGAAGGAACUCGGCAAACAUUAACCCCGCCUGUUUACCAAAAACAUCGCCUCUUGAACCUCAUAAGAGGUCCAGCCUGCCCAGUGACUCUGUUCAACGGCCGCGGUAUUCUAACCGUGCAAAGGUAGCGUAAUCACUUGUUCUUUAAAUGAGGACUAGUAUGAAUGGCACCACGAGGAUUAUACUGUCUCCUCUCUCUAAUCAGUGAAACUGAUCUUCCCGUGAAGAAGCGGGGAUUUAUUUAUAAGACGAGAAGACCCUAUGGAGCUUUAAACUUUUAACAAUUGCCCAAAUAAUUUUAAUUCCAGAAAAUAAACCUUAAUUUAGCACUUUGAUUUUUAAGUUUUCGGUUGGGGUGACCACGGAGCAAAACUUAACCUCCGCACUGAAAGGCCCUAGGCCUUAUUUAAGAACCACAAUUCCAUACACCAACAAUUUGACAUAAUUGACCCAAUACAUUGAUCAAUGAACCAAGUUACCCUAGGGAUAACAGCGCAAUCCACUUCAAGAGCCCCUAUCGACAAGUGGGUUUACGACCUCGAUGUUGGAUCAGGGUUCCCCAGUGGUGCAGCCGCUACUAAAGGUUCGUUUGUUCAACGAUUAAAACC
rnacentral:rRNA from 1 species